GCCUGGGUGGCUCAGUCGGUUAAGCAUCUGACUUCAGCUCAGGUCAUGAUCUUACAAUUCGUGGGCUCAAGCCCCAUGUCAGGCU
rnacentral:tRNA from 1 species